rnacentral:rRNA from 1 species
AUGGGAAGCAGGUUAAUAUUCCUGCACCGUCGUAUGAUGCGAUGGGGGGACGGAUCGCGGAAGGUUGUCUGACUGUUGGAAUAGUCAGUUUCUGGUUCAUAGAAGGCGCUUAGGCAAAUCCGGGCGCAGGAUUCAAGGGAUCGGGACGAGGUGCUUAGGCACUGAAGCAAUCGGAAGUGGUUCCAAGAAAAGCCUCUAAGCUUCAGUCAUACGAGACCGUACCGCAAACCGACACAGGUGGGCGAGAUGAGUAUUCU